AAUGUUUAUUGGGUGAUGGAUGGCACCUGUGCUCCUCAGGCAUUUGUGGUGCUGCAGAUGGGAGGUCCAUGUCUGCGUGGGAGCUCACCCUCAUCACAGCAAGAGCAACUCUCAAGGGCUUUCAGCUCGGCCACGUGAAUCCUCCUGCCUUGAGUGCUCAGGCAAAUUGAGGAGCCCUGGCACUUUCUCCCUGCCCUCACUGCCUCGUGGGCAGGCAGCAUGUGAUACCAUGGGGGAGAUGGAUGAGAAGACACAGCCAAGCCCAACAGCUGGAGCUUGGUCCCUCUCCUCUGCCAGAACUGUAGCAGGUUGGGAACUGUACCUGGAUGCUCGGGAUGGCCAAAUGGAUGCAGGGGAGCAUCUCCUCCCUGUGGGAUGCUGGCAGAGCUACCCACCAGUGUUAGCUCAGUUGUUUCUCUCCAAUUCAUAAAGAUAUUAUCUUUGGCCUAAGUGUAACCACUUCAUGAUGUGUGGUGGUGAUGGGGAAAUGCAAGCAGGUGCCCAUUUUGCUGUAGGUUUCAUUGCACUUGUUGGAGUUCUGGCCAAAACCUAGUAUGGCCUCACCUUUGGGUUUCAGACACUGAGCAGAUCCAGUGCCACAUUCUCAGUGUAGUUAUUUUUUGGAAACCAACACUCUGUCUACUGAGUAGUAGGGUGGCAUUAUUAGGACACCUAGGAGUUAAACCACUCUGGCCUUGAGCAGGAAUAUGUCUUCACUGGCGAGGUUUGCUGCAGCAUGCUGCCUAGUCAUUAGCUAAUUAAUGCCAAUUCCAUUGGAAAUACAGCCGAGCCAUCACGGUCUGCUUUUCCAAAAGAUCCUGUGUGUACUUUGUCAACUACGUUCC
rnacentral:lncRNA from 1 species